CGACGUCAGGAGGCGGCCGCGGCCCGCUCGCCUCCGCCCGCCGCCGCCCGGCCCGGCCCGGCCCGGCCCGGCGAGGGGACCCGCCCCGCCGCCCGGCGGCCUCCAGCCGGCCAGAGCCGCGGGCUGGGCGGCGUUUUUCUUCCGAAAACCUUGGCCAGCCCCAGCCCUUCUCGUCUGAAACGCUGGGCCGCCUCCCAGCCUCCUCUCCUGCAAACCUCAGGCAGGUCCUGGCCUUUCCCUUUCCAAAGCCUUGGGUGCCCCCUGAAUUUUUCUUCUGGAAGGCUUGGGAACCCCCCAGCCCUUCUCUUCCAGAAAGCUUAGGCAAGUCCCUGACCUCCUCUGAAAGGCUCGAGCAUGUCCCAGCCCUUCUGUUCAAGAGCCUCGGGUACCCCCAGCCAUUCUCUUCCAAAAACCUUGGGCAUAUCGCAGGCCUCUUCUGAAAGCCUUGGAUACCCUCAGCCCAUCUCUUCUGAAAACCUUUGGUAUGGCCCAGCCGUUUUUUCUUCUAAAAACCUCGAGCAUGUUCCACACCUUUUCUCCUGAAAACCUCAGGCAUGACCCAGCCCUUCUCUCCCCCAAACCUUGGGCAUGCUCCAGGUCUUCACUCCUGAAAGCUUGGGGCAUCUCCCUGACCUUCUUCUCUUCUGAAAACCCCAGGUACCCCCAGCCCAUCUCUUCUGCAAACCUCCAGUAUGUCCCAGCCCUUCUCUGCCCAAAACCCUGUGUACCACCCAGCCCACAACAACCUGGAUUCCAGCAUGUGGCAUCUGCACAUGUCGCUUAUGCUACAUGCAGGAUGGUCCUGGACACCCAAGAGUCCUGUCACCCUCGCAUCUAAAUGGCAGAUGUGACUCCAUGGUAUGCAGAGCCAAAUCAGAUUUCUGGAUAGUUGUCUUUUCUACUGCUAAUGAAUACAAGUAACUGAAAAAUCACUGAGACAAGUCUGAAGAGCAGUAACCUUUUUGUUUGUUUGUUUUGUUCCAUUUGAAGGAAAACUGAGUAUCAUGAUAAUGGAUCCAGCUAUUCGCUGGUGCAAGAGAUAUUUCCAAAGUGCUAGGUGCCCACAGCUCCAACAGAAGUCAGUGGAACUGGAAACAGUAACAGCUACAUACUGGCUCAGCUAGCCCCUGUCUUCUCUCUGACACUGGCUGGUAGGGACUGCCAAGAAAAGAAAUAAAAAGGAGGCUCUUUCGUAGUGACGUGUCCCUGGUCUUGUGUUUCAGCCAGAAGAGACAUCUUUGCAUUUGUAUGCUGUGCACCUAUUUUAGAAUAUCAUUUCUUAGUCACCUACAGGAGCUCCCCUAGAUGUCCUUGAUAGUGUCUUUUAGAAUUUUGGCUCAGGAUGUAACCAAGUAUUUGCCAUAACAAUGCCUGAUUAGAGGGAAACUGUAGGUCAGGUACACCUCUGACUGCGAACAGUCCUACAGCAGUGUAACCCCGAGGAGUUACUCCUGACUUGCACCUCAGAAUGAAGCUAAUGUCAUCGUGGCCCAGAAAGAAGGGUGACUGGUCCUCUGGAUGGAGCAGUGGGAAAGGUCACCCACUGCAAGGCUCAAGAACCAGGGAGGGAAAAAUGAGCUUCGUCAGGACUGGGUGGGGGGUAGGGAAAACAGCACUUCUCCAUUUCCCUCUUUCUGAAGAGCAGAAGAACUUCAUUAUUGUUUAAGUACUGGUAUUAUUGCUUUCUUUAAUCAACAUCUGAGUUCUUCUCUGGCAAAUACAUCAUGCCCCAGGGCAAUUUCAAGGUGUGAUUAUCUUCAAAGGCUUAAAAGCUGGCUGAGACUGCAGCAUUUGUGUUCUACUUGCAAUCUCCUCCUCCGAGCUGAGCACCACACCUCUGCUGCACUCUGCCUCCCUCAGAUGCCAGGCAGGAGGACGGGGAACAAUGGUCAUUUCUGGGGCAUUUUAAAGGCUCUUGCAUUAAGCACUGAUAUAAUGUAAUAGAAAUCCUUUAUAAAUAAAAAUAGACUUCCACUAUA